UACGUAGGGGGCGAGCGUUGUCCGGAUUUAUUGGGCGUAAAGAGCUCGUAGGUGGUUUGAUAAGUCGGAUGUGAAAUCUCCAGGCUCAACCUGGAGCUGCCAUUCGAUACUGUCAUGACUUGAGUCCGGUAGGGGACCACGGAAUUCCUGGUGUAGCGGUGAAAUGCGCAGAUAUCAGGAGGAACACCGGUGGCGAAGGCGGGAUCCUGGGCCAGUACUGACGCUGAGGAGCGAAAGCGUGGGGAGCAAACAGG
rnacentral:rRNA from 1 species